AUACCGGCCAGAGACCGAUAGCGCACAAGUAGAGUGAUCGAAAGAUGAAAAGCACUUUGAAAAGAGGGUUAAAUAGUACGCGAAAUUGUUGAAAGGGAAGGAUUUAUGACCAGACCUUUGCCUUGCGGAUCAUCCGGUGUUCUCACCGGUGCACUUCGCUUGGUUGAGGCCAGCAUCAGUUUUGGCGGCGGGAUAAAGACUUCAGGAACGUGACUCCCCCGGGAGUGUUAUAGCCUGCUGUGUAAUACCGCCGCUGGGACUGAGGACCGCCCUUCGGCUAGGAUGCUGGCAUAAUGGUCAUCAAUCACCCGUCUUGAAACACGGACC
rnacentral:rRNA from 1 species